AGCCGUUAGGAAGAGGAAGUAGCCGUUAGGAAGAGGAAGUAGCCGUUAGGAAGAGGAAGUAGCCCUACGAAAGCUCUAAGACGGGAGCAUGCAUGGAUUCUUUCAUCAUCGUUCCAUCUACCUCAGUCCUAAACCAAUACGAGGCAUUGCUGUGGCCAUAGAUUAGUUCAAUCUGGACCUCUCUAGAGGGUCCAGUGAGAGCAAAACCAGGACAUCUGCUCAACAGUGGAGGACGGUGCUCAUCUUUCUCAUACUGGGUAUGGAAAAGAAGCUGACAGCGAUCAUAUGACCACAGGGAAAGCAUUUUGAAGCUAAAGAGGCCAGGCAAUCGAUGGAGACGCAAAGAAGUCUCCUAAAACAUGGGAACAGAGAUCUGCUCACACUUUGACUAAAGACCAGUCUAUCCUUGGACUUCCUCAUUUGUGAGCCAAUAAACUCCAUUCACUGUUUAAGACCUGUGAGUCUAGUUUUCCGUAUCUAACAACCACUUUUCUAAACCGCUAAGCCACUUUUAAACUUUUUCCAAAACAAAAAAAAGUUUUUUUUCAACCACUUUACUUAACAAACCAAGUACCAAUCAGUACUAAACUAUAAACUCAAAACAUCUAUCCUCUCAAUUUUGAAAGUGUGUAAAAACUUAGCUGACAAAAUUUCUAAGAAAAAGAUGAUGACUUCCCCACUCUGAAGUAGAAAACACAACUUUAUAAAGAGCUUUAAGAAGAGAAAAUACAUUGAAGAAUGAAAAGUAAAACACACCUUUUUUUUCUGGAGGCUUCCCAUUAUUCUGGUUCAAUUUUAGGAUAUUUUGGGUGUCACCUUUGCUUCCAUCUCUUUGAAACUUAAGUUCCAACUCUUCUGUCAGGGAGCGCAAAUGUUUUCAGUGGUCAAAAAGAGAAUAAUCUCUGCGGGCAUCUCUCCCACACCCUUAUUUACACGAGGCACCUACAGCUCAAACUUGUCAACAGUCUUGCUUGGGAUGGUGAGUGCGAGAGUGGGGUCAGGGUCUCAGGUGGACAUCCUUCCAAUCCAGAUCCUUGCUUCAUGACAGCGGCGGAGUGCUCUGACACAGCUACAGUAUCUGUUGGCCGUCAACACUGCCAUCCAGGCUAAAAAGAAGCAUUGAGAAACAAAGAACCCAAAUUAUUCCAACCAGCUUAAUCCUCCACCCCUGGCUGAUGCAGAACUACAGAGCUCCAGCCUCCUGGCCAGGGGUCUAAUUCUCCCAUCCGUCCCAUUAGCCCCACUCAGUGACAGCACACCUUAGACAAAUGUUUUCCUGAAGUCUCUUGAUAAACAAAUUUGCUUUUACUCUUAAAAUAAUAAAAGUAUAGAAUUUCAGACUUGGGAAGAGCCUUAACAAUCAUUUAAUUGAUAACUUUUCCCCAUGAAUUAUAAUGCCACCCUCCACCUGCUAGCCCUGUUCUUCCUUGAAGGGGAAGAUGAUGUCCAUUCUAUAUAACGAAUGUCUUCUUAUUUUUGUGGGGCUAGGAACAGCGUCAUUAAACUGGGCGCUAAAGAAAUGCUAAUUGUGGGCAAUCAUUCUUUUUGAAUUUUUUCAGUACAGUUAUUUGUCUGUCUAGAAACAGAGAUAAAUCUUUUUCUUUCUGUUUUUUUUUUUUUUUUUUUUUUUUUUUUUUUUUUUUAAUGGAGUUUCUUUCUUGUUGCCCAGGCUGGAGUUCAAUGGUGCUAUCUCAGCUCACUGCAAGCUCUGCCUCCUGUGUUCAAGCGAUUCUCCUGCCUCAGCCUCCCGAGUAGCUGAGAUUACAGGCGCCCGCCACCACGCCCAACUAAUUUUUGUAUUUUAGUAGAGAUGGGGUUUCACCACGUGGGUCAGGCUGGUCUCAAACUCCUGUCCUCAGGUGAUCCACCCGCCUUGGCCUCCAGAAGUGCUGGGAUUACAGGCGUGAGCCAGGGCGCCCAGACGAGAAAUCUUUAAAAAGUAACAUCCCGCUUGAAAGCUACACUACUAUAACAUUUACUGACUACACAUAAAAACCUAUUUGAAUGACACAGGAGAAACUGUUGUCUGUAACUGCACGCUGACAUAUCAUUACAUAUGCAUAUUACUUCUUUUGUCCAGUGCUAAUUUUUAAUGACAAUGGAGUUUCUAUAAAGUGUGCCAGGAGGAAGUUUCUUUGGUGUAUAUUAGUCUGUUACAUUUAUGCUUAGUUUGGCUGGAGAGUUUUAAUUACACCCUACAUCCCAGUACAUGAAAAAUGGAAGUUGUGUAGUUUGAGCUUUUGGCUGACCAGCCAUUUUCCUGUAACCAGAAGUAAGUACUAGUUAUUGUAAGCUCUGAGAUGGAAAUAGUCGGCUGUGCACAACUCACAUGAUAUUAUGAGAUAUCUGUAGAGUUUUGAGAAGUCAGUUACACAUUUGAUGGACCUAUCGUAACAUGUUGACACCUACGAUGAGAGGAAAGAGACUUUUUGUUUGUUUAAUUAUCUAUUCUAACUGCGAUUAUUUAUGGAUAGUGGCUAAUUGUUUUAGAACGUAUUGAAGAGCAUACUUGCCUAUUAGAAAUAAGUUGCAACAGACUUGGUUGCUCCAAUUUACUAUAAACUAGGAGGUAGAAUGAUGUAUUGGAAAGAGAAUGGUCUUUAGCUGUAGGAAGACUUGGGUUCAAAUCUUAAGUUAUAAUGUUUAUUUUACUGAUGUUCUGGGCAAGUCACUGAACUAUUCUGGCCCUGUGUUUCCUCUCCCAAAGAAGGGGAAUAAUAGCAUCUGCUCCUAAAAAUGUUAUUUUGGGAAUUAGAAUUAAUAUAUGUAAGUUAAAGUAAGGAUAGUUAACAAAUCGUAAGUAUUAGAUGCUUGGGAGUGAUAAAUAACACUUAUUCCAUUCACAGAGAGAGUUUAAUGAACCACUGCAACUCCAACUACUCAAAUCUUUAAAAGUCCUAUCUGUUUUUAUCAGCACUUAUAGAAACAGAUUCACUUUCACUUUUGCCAUAAGAUUAAUUAUGAAAAACAUAUCUGGGUAUGUCACCUGCCUCAGUAAUUAAAUAGAACAGGAACAAAUCAAAUUAUUUAGCGGCAAAAAUAAGACAGCACUUAGCAUUUAUUCAAUGUCAUAUGCUACCACUGCCACCAUUAUGUGGUCUCUAUGGCAUUUCACUUUCCCCCAGUGAAGAAGCUUCUAUGAACAAACACAAUCAUUAAAAACAGAUUGAGCGUGAAAUGAAGAUGAGAACUUCCAUUCAUUGGUGAAAACAAUAUUAUGUGACUAAACUCUAAAGGUAAACAAGUCAGUUUAUAAACCGAGAACGCCGGGGCCUUUGGUCCCUUUAUCAUUUGUAUUUUAAGUAACAUUUUAAAAAAUGUUGAUGUUGUGUUACGGUUUAUCACCUGCCACUUGAAGAACUGUGGUGUUGGGAUUAGUAUCGUGUUUGAUACAGCUUUGUAGGGAUGUUUUCUGCUUUCAAAAUGUCAUGAUAUGCUUAAAACUAUUUGCAAAAAAAAAAAGAGAAUGAAUUGGUUUUCAUUUAUUGUUGUUAAUCCGCUUCUCAAUGUCUUGUCUGUGUGUUUUUGCUUUCAUCCUUCUUCCUUACCGCACAACUAUAUCAUUAGCCACAAGGCAGAACAUGUCUUCUAAGCAAAUGUAGAAUUAAAAAGUCUUGUGGGAGAAUUUUAGCAACUGUUGAGCUAAGAUCAUGCCACAGUGAGAUACAAAGCAAUGUGUAAUAAGGAAAAUCACUCAAACAUGAGAAACUUCUUAAUAAAUCAGGAGAAAUCAAGUGUGCAUGAAAAGGCUAGGUAUUAUGUGUUCUAAGAUACAAGGUUUAUUACCUGUGUAAUUGCUUUACUAUGUAGGAUACGCAUUUGAACAAAUGUUGUAAAUUAUUACAAAGUACGCUACAGUGAAACCUCUUUAUAAUAUUUCCACACAUACUGGUUUCCCAUUUGGGGAGUCCUGAAUUACACAUCCCUCUUACAGAGAAGUGAACCUCUGGGAGCGAGGCUCAAGAUCAUAACAAUUCUCCCCAUUUAUUCCUCUACAUUGUAUUAGUGAUACCUGAGAGGUGGCUCAUGGAUGUUAAGAAUACAAAUAUAAGCAAGAGGACCUCAAGAUGCAAACAAUCUAAUUGAGAAAGGAGAUUAUAAACAGCAAACUGCUACUAGUGCUACUGCUGCUACUAAUAACAAAAAAAUAGAAUGCAUGUGCCUUGUUCUGAAGAGCUGCUUUGCAAAUGCACUUAAAAGAAGGAGAGAACCUUUUCUCUUAGCAAAAUAUAAGCAUAAGCAAGUUAGUAAUUACAUACACUUCUGUUCCAUUGUCUGUAAAAACACAAAUAAUUGCUGCCUCAUGGAAUGAUUUUAAGGGUUGGGUAAGAUAUAUAUGGGAAGUGUUUAGCAUUACACCGAGAGCAUCGUAAGAACUCCAUGGAUGGGAGCUAUGUAUUGCUCUCUUUACUAUUCAUGUUAGUUGCAUUAUUGGAGGCAUAAUGGCACAGUGAAAGAGCCUCUGCAUCCAAGUAGGUCACAGCCUCAUUAGGGGCUUGCGAUAUGCAAAGACGUUAAAACAGUAAUCAACCAGGUAUUAUAUGUGAUAAUUACAAAUGAGUGUUAGGCAAUACGUGCUGAAGGUAUUAUUUUCAUAUACCCAUUUAUCCCCAAAUAAAUAGAGUUGGCGUAACAUUCUUGUUCAUAACAAGAUCAUAGAAACAGAACAAAAAUGUUAUAUCCCGUUUCUGCUUUCAUCAUGGGUAUUAGACUCAUUUCUCCAAACAACUAUGUGUCCAAUGUAGAGAUAUCUAAAUACAAAUAACAAUUUUCAAAAGCCAUAAUCAAUCCAAUCCAUCUAAUCUAAAAGCUGACACCUAAUCAGACACACAAGGACCAAAGGAGCUGAAUAACAUAUCAGAAAUAUUGAUAAGCUUAUCACAUGUGCUUUUCUUUACAGCUUUUAAAAUAGUUAUUGAGUUUGGGAGACCGUCCAUUGUCUUUGUGGACACAAAUAAUUAAAACCUGCCAUGACUGUAACUUCCAUACCUAACUUCAGGACAAAAAUAACGAUGGCCCUGACAGGACCUCUUUGGCCUAGACUGACAGCCGCUGUGACCGACACGCUUGUUCUGGGCUAAUGGACAUUGACGGACUUCAUGUGUCUCAGCUGAAUCGGAGGUGAUUUUCAACUGCUGAACAGGAGAUGACCUGCUGGCUCAGUGAAUAGGUGGGAUACUUGGGGAUGGGCUAAUGACAAAUCACAUCUUCUGGACAGGUGCUUGUUGGGUCGAGACAGGAAGCAGAAGGUUUUGUACCUGUUACUCACUUGAGCUCAUUCUGACCCAAACAAGUAUCCAGAGGAAUUAACUAGUGACCUAGGUGCAGGGUCGCACCUGUCCUCAUGAGUGCCAAUCAAACAUUUUGGCUGGAAAUUCCCCGCAAAUGAUGGAGAAUAAUGGCUUCAAUCCUUUAAGUGGGGCAUAUUUCCUUAGUUAUCAUGCAUGUCAUAGGGGAUAGAAAAUUAAAUAUUAUGACUAGAAUGAUGAAAAUAUGAUGGCAUAAAACUUUAAUUUUGUUUCCAUUCUCAUUUUCGUGAUAUAAUUACAUGUCCCACUUAAAAAUACAAACGUUUGAAAGAAAUCUCGCACACAAUUAAGGCGGUUUACUAAUACUCCAGGUGAUAACAAUAUUGACAAAGUACCCUCCUGCCUGCCUCCUUUUGACUGAUUAUUUUAUUUAUUUGUGUUUGUUUUGG